AGAGUUUGAUCAUGGCUCAGGACGAACGCUGGCGGCGUGCCUAAUACAUGCAAGUAGAACGCUGAAGAGAGGAGCUUGCUCUUCUUGGAUGAGUUGCGAACGGGUGAGUAACGCGUAGGUAACCUGCCUUGUAGCGGGGGAUAACUAUUGGAAACGAUAGCUAAUACCGCAUAACAAUGGAUGACCCAUGUCAUUUAUUUGAAAGGGGCAAAUGCUCCACUACAAGAUGGACCUGCGUUGUAUUAGCUAGUAGGUGAGGUAACGGCUCACCUAGGCGACGAUACAUAGCCGACCUGAGAGGGUGAUCGGCCACACUGGGACUGAGACACGGCCCAGACUCCUACGGGAGGCAGCAGUAGGGAAUCUUCGGCAAUGGGGGCAACCCUGACCGAGCAACGCCGCGUGAGUGAAGAAGGUUUUCGGAUCGUAAAGCUCUGUUGUAAGUCAAGAACGAGUGUGAGAGUGGAAAGUUCACACUGUGACGGUAGCUUACCAGAAAGGGACGGCUAACUACGUGCCAGCAGCCGCGGUAAUACGUAGGUCCCGAGCGUUGUCCGGAUUUAUUGGGCGUAAAGCGAGCGCAGGCGGUUUGAUAAGUCUGAAGUUAAAGGCUGUGGCUCAACCAUAGUUCGCUUUGGAAACUGUCAAACUUGAGUGCAGAAGGGGAGAGUGGAAUUCCAUGUGUAGCGGUGAAAUGCGUAGAUAUAUGGAGGAACACCGGUGGCGAAAGCGGCUCUCUGGUCUGUAACUGACGCUGAGGCUCGAAAGCGUGGGGAGCGAACAGGAUUAGAUACCCUGGUAGUCCACGCCGUAAACGAUGAGUGCUAGGUGUUGGAUCCUUUCCGGGAUUCAGUGCCGCAGCUAACGCAUUAAGCACUCCGCCUGGGGAGUACGACCGCAAGGUUGAAACUCAAAGGAAUUGACGGGGGCCCGCACAAGCGGUGGAGCAUGUGGUUUAAUUCGAAGCAACGCGAAGAACCUUACCAGGUCUUGACAUCCCGAUGCUAUUUCUAGAGAUAGAAAGUUACUUCGGUACAUCGGUGACAGGUGGUGCAUGGUUGUCGUCAGCUCGUGUCGUGAGAUGUUGGGUUAAGUCCCGCAACGAGCGCAACCCCUAUUGUUAGUUGCCAUCAUUCAGUUGGGCACUCUAGCGAGACUGCCGGUAAUAAACCGGAGGAAGGUGGGGAUGACGUCAAAUCAUCAUGCCCCUUAUGACCUGGGCUACACACGUGCUACAAUGGUUGGUACAACGAGUUGCGAGUCGGUGACGGCAAGCUAAUCUCUUAAAGCCAAUCUCAGUUCGGAUUGUAGGCUGCAACUCGCCUACAUGAAGUCGGAAUCGCUAGUAAUCGCGGAUCAGCACGCCGCGGUGAAUACGUUCCCGGGCCUUGUACACACCGCCCGUCACACCACGAGAGUCGGGAACACCCGAAGUCCGUAGUCUAACCGCAAGGAGGGCGCGGCCGGAGGUGGGUCCGGUAAUUGGGGUGAAGUCGUAACAAGGUA
rnacentral:rRNA from 1 species